rnacentral:rRNA from 1 species
UCGGGAAUUUUGGGCAAUGGGCGAAAGCCUGAUCCAGCCAUGCCGCGUGAGUGAUGAAGGCCUUAGGGUUGUAAAGCUCUUUUACCAGGGAUGAUAAUGACAGUACCUGGAGAAUAAGCUCCGGCUAACUCCGUGCCAGCAGCCGCGGUAAUACGGAGGGAGCUAGCGUUGUUCGGAAUUACUGGGCGUAAAGCGUACGUAGGCGGUGACUCAAGUCAGAGGUGAAAGCCUGGAGCUCAACCCCAGAACUGCCUUUGAAACUAGGUCGCUAGAAUCACGGAGAGGUGAGUGGAAUUCCGAGUGUAGAGGUGAAAUUCGUAGAUAUUCGGAAGAACACCAGUGGCGAAGGCGGCUCACUGGACGUGUAUUGACGCUGAGGUACGAAAGCGUGGGGAGCAAACAGGAUUAGAUACCCAAGUAGUCCCUGAGCGGGCUGGCAAGGCGCAU